AGAGAGAGGGAGUUCUUCAAUGCAAUGGAGCUCGUUCUUGCGCUAUCAAAAGAGAUUAAUUUGGUGGAUUAUAGGCCAUCUGUUAUUGCUGCUGCUGCCGUACUAUCGUCAUCUUCUGAUGCUGAGUUGAGUAGAAAAGCAAUGGAACUUAAAACAAGUAGAAUCUCAUUAUGGGAUUCUCAAGAUAAUGAGCAUAUAUUCGUCUGUUACAACCUUCUUCAGGGAAUAAUGAAG